AUUGCUUCUUGGCCUUUUGGCUAAGAUCAAGUGUAGUAUCUUAUGUCUCCAUUGAUUUUGAAAGAUACUUUUGCAGCACAUAUCAAUCUGGGUUUGAGGUUGUUUUUCUUUAGGGAUUGAAGCACUGCACUCUAGGGUCUUCUU
ensembl:snRNA U2 U2 spliceosomal RNA